CCAAUAGCGUAUAUUAAAGUUGUUGCAGUUAAAAAGCUCGUAGUUGAAUUUUAGGCCUGGCCGGGCGGUCCGUCUUUGGCGAGUACUGUCCUGUGUCGGGUCCACCUUCUGGUGAACCAGUAUGUCCUUUAUUGGGUGUGCCGGGGAGCCAGGACCAUUACCUUGAAAAAAUUAGAGUGUUUAAAGCAGGCAUUCGCUUGAAUAGAUUAGCAUGGAAUAAUAGAAUAGGACGUUGUGGUUCUAUUUUGUUGGUUUCUAGGACCACCGUAAUGAUUAAUAGGGAUAGUUGGGGGCAUUAGUAUUCAAUUGUCAGAGGUGAAAUUCUUGGAUUUAUUGAAGACUAACUAUUGCGAAAGCAUUUGCCAAGGAUGUUUUCAUUAAUCAAGAACGAAAGUUAGGGGAUCGAAGACGAUCAGAUACCGUCGUAGUCUUAACCAUAAACUAUGCCGACUAGGAAUCGGGCGACGUUAUUUUCAUGACUCGCUCGGCGCCUUAUG
rnacentral:rRNA from 1 species